AGUGAACGCUGGCGGUAGGCCUAACACAUGCAAGUCGAACGGCAGCACAGUAAGAGCUUGCUCUUACGGGUGGCGAGUGGCGGACGGGUGGGGAAUACAUCGGAAUCUACUUUUUCGUGGGGGAUAACGUAGGGAAACUUACGCUAAUACCGCAUACGACCUACGGGUGAAAGCAGGGGAUCUUCGGACCUUGCGCGAUUGAAUGAGCCGAUGUCGGAUUAGCUAGUUGGCGGGGUAAAGGCCCACCAAGGCGACGAUCCGUAGCUGGUCUGGGAGGAUGAUCAGCCACACUGGAACUGAGACACGGUCCAGACUCCUACGGGAGGCAGCAGUGGGGAAUAUUGGACAAAGGGCGCAAGCCUGAUCCAGCCAUACCGCGUGGGUGAAGAAGGCCUUCGGGUUGUAAAGCCCUUUUGUUGGGAAAGAAAAGCAGCAGGUUAAUACCCCGCUGUUCUGACGGUACCCAAAGAAUAAGCACCGGCUAACUUCGUG
rnacentral:rRNA from 1 species